CCUACGGGUGGCAGCAGUGAGGAAUAUUGGUCAAUGGGAGAGAUCCUGAACCAGCCAAGCCGCGUGAGGGAAGACGGCCCUAUGGGUUGUAAACCUCUUUUGUCGGAGAACAAAACCCGGGACGUGUCCCGGACUGCGUGUAUCCGAAGAAAAAGCAUCGGCUAACUCCGUGCCAGCAGCCGCGGUAAUACGGGGGGUGCAAGCGUUGUCCGGAAUCAUUGGGCGUAAAGAGUUCGUAGGCGGCACGUAAAGUCUGGUGUUAAAGGCAGAGGCUCAACUUCUGUACGGCACUGGAUACUUGCGAGCUAGAAUGCGGUAGAGGUAAAGGGAAUUCCUGGUGUAGCGGUGAAAUGCUUAGAUAUCAGGAGGAACAUCGGUGGCGUAAGCGCUUUACUGGGCCGUAAUUGACGCUGAGGAACGAAAGCCAGGGUAGCAAAUGGGAUUAGAUACCCCAGUAGUC
rnacentral:rRNA from 1 species